GUACACACCGCCCGUCACAUCACGAAAGUGGAUUGUACUAGAAGUCUGCGCGCUAACCGCAAGGAGGCAGCGGCCCAAGGUAUGAUUCAUGAUUGGGACUAAGUCGUAACAAGGUAACCGUAGGUGAACCUGCAGAAGGAUCA
rnacentral:rRNA from 1 species